GACGAACGCUGGCGGCGUGCUUAACACAUGCAAGUCGAACGGAUAGUCCCUGCUUUUUUGGUGUGCUCGAGUGGCGAAAGGGUGAGUAACACGGGAGUAACCUCCCCUUGACUUUGGGAUAACUUCAGGAAACUGGGGCGAAUACCGGAUAGGAGCUCCUGCUACAUGGUGGGGGUUGGAAAGUUUCGGCGGUUGGGGAUGGAUUGGGGGGUUAUCGGCUUGUUGGUGGGGGAGUGGCUUACCAAGGCUUUGACGGGUAGCCGGCCUGCGAGGGUGACCGGGGCCCUUGGGACUGAGGGAGGGCCCAGACGGGUACGGGAGGCAGAGGUGGAGAAUAUGGCCCAAUGGGCGGAAGUCAGAGGCAGCAACGCCGCGUGCGGAAUGCCGGCCUUCGGGUUGUAAACCGCUUUCGCAUGUGACGAAGCGUGAGUGACGGUAAUGGGUAAAGAAGCACCGGCUAACUACGUG
rnacentral:rRNA from 1 species